UCUGCGAAGGUGCAUUAGCUGGACAAACUCUUUCUUUCCUGUAACUAUCACUUAUCUCAAGAAAUCGAAAAAUCAAUCCACACAAUAUUUAUACCCUCACAUACACACAUUACAUAUACGUAAAUAUAUAAGUAUAUAUACACACGUAAUAGAUAGUGUUAAAUCAAUGUUUUGUUUUGUUUUGAUUGUUUUUUUCAAGAAAAGGGACAUUCGUACAUACUGACAGUUUUAGUCACCACUUAUAAAAGACUGUUGCUUUAAAAUGAAAAUGAAAAUAUAGAGCCAGACGAUGAAAGACAGAAAAAUGAAUUAGGAACAAACGGAAGAAAGUGAGAUACAGUCAUUUAACUGAAGUCAUGCUGGAGCACUGCCUUCUAGUCAGAGAAAUCAACCCCAGGACUUAUACUUUGUAAGCCUAGUACUUAUUCCAUUGGUGUCUUUUGCCAAACCAUUAAGUUACAGGGACGUAAAUACACCAACAUAAGUUGUCAUGCAUAUGUGUGUGUGUAUUUCUAAGUCAUUUGACUGCGGCCAUGCUGGAGCACCACCUUUAGUCGAACAAAUCGACCCCAGGACUUAUUCUUUGGAAGCCUAGUACUUAUUCUAUCGAUUUCUUUUGCUGAACUGCUAAGUUACGGGGACGUAAACACACCAGCAUUGGUUGUCAAGCGAUGUUAGGGGGACAAACACAGACACACAAACAUAUAUAUACAUAUAUACGACAGGCUUCUUUCAGUUUCCAUCUACCAAAUCCACUCACAAGGCUUUGGUCAGC